rnacentral:sRNA from 1 species
GCUGGGUGUGGUGACGCAUGCCUGCAAUCCCAGGGGCUGGGGAGGCUGAGGCAGGAGGAUCGCAAGUUCAAAGCCAGCCUCAGCAACUUAGCAAGGUUCUAAGCAACUCAGUGAGACUCUGUCUCUA